GCAUAUCAAUAAGCGGAGGAAAAAGAAACCAACAGGGAUUGCCCUAGUAACGGCGAGUGAAGCGGCAACAGCUCAAAUUUGAAAUCUGGCGCAAGCCCGAGUUGUAAUUUGUAGAGGAUGCUUCGGGGCAGCGACCGGUCUAAGUUCCUUGGAACAGGACGUCAGAGAGGGUGAGAAUCCCGUAUGUGACCGGCCCGCGCCCUGCACGUAGCUCCUUCGACGAGUCGAGUUGUUUGGGAAUGCAGCUCUAAAUGGGAGGUAAAUUUCUUCUAAAGCUAAAUACCGGCCAGAGACCGAUAGCGCACAAGUAGAGUGAUCGAAAGAUGAAAAGUACUUUGGAAAGAGAGUUAAAAAGCACGUGAAAUUGUUGAAAGGGAAGCGCCUGCAACCAGACUUCGCGGCAGUGUUCCGCCGGUCUUCUGACCGGUUCAUUCUCUGCCGUGAGGCCAUCAUCGUCUGGGCCCGCCGGAUAAGACCUUGGGAAUGUAGCUCACCUCCGGGGGAGUGUUAUAGCCCAGGGUGAUGCGGCGCGGCUCGGGCGAGGUCCGCGCUUCGGCAAGGAUGAUGGCGUAAUGGUUGUCGGCGGCCCGUCUUGAAACACGGACCAAGGAGUCUAACAUCUAUGCGAGUGUUCGGGUGUCAAACCCCUACGCGUAAUGAAAGUGAACGGAGGUGGGAACCGCAAGGUGCACCAUCGACCGAUCCUGAUGUCCUCGGAUGGAUUUGAGUAAGAGCAUAGCUGUUGGGACCCGAAAGAUGGUGAACUAUGCCUGAAUAGGGUGAAGCCAGAGGAAACUCUGGUGGAGGCUCGCAGCGGUUCUGACGUGCAAAUCGAUCGUCAAAUUUGGGUAUAGGGGGCGAAAGACUAAUCGAACCAUCUAGUAGCUGGGUUCCUGCCGA
rnacentral:rRNA from 1 species